rnacentral:miRNA from 1 species
CUCAUUAAAUGGUUUGUUGAAUGA